rfam:Elusimicrobia bacterium RIFOXYB2_FTLL_50_12 rifoxyb2_full_scaffold_1798, whole genome shotgun sequence.
GCGCCCGUAGCUCAAUUGGAUAGAGUACUGGCCUCCGGAGCCAGGCGUCCCGGUUCAAGUCCGGGCGGGCGCG